CUGAGUGGGACGAGUGAACUUGUUCACGAAGCAAUCGGAAGUGGUUCCAAGAAAAGCCUCUAAGCUUCAGUCAUACGAGACCGUACCGCAAACCGACACAGGUGGGCGAGAUGAGUAUUCUAAGGCGCUUGAGAGAACUCGGGAGAAGGAACUCGGCAAAUUGGUACCGUAACUUCGGGAAAAGGUACGCCCCGGUAGCUUGGUCACUUUACUGUGAUAGGGCGAAAGGGUUGCAAUAAACUGGUGGCUGCGACUGUUUAAUAAAAACACAGCACUCUGCAAACACGAAAGUGGACGUAUAGGGUGUGACGCCUGCCCGGUGCUGGAAGAUUAAAUGAUGGGGUGCAAGCUCUUGAUUGAAGUCCCAGUAAACGGCGGCCGUAACCAUAACGGUCCUAAGGUAGCGAAAUUCCUUGUCGGGUAAGUUCCGACCUGCACGAAUGGCGUAACGAUGGCCACACUGUCUCCUCCCGAGACUCAGCGAAGUUGAAGUGUUUGUGAUGAUGCAAUCUACCCGCGGCUAGACGGAAAGACCCCAUGAACCUUUACUGUAGCUUUGCAUUGGACUUUGAACCAAUCUGUGUAGGAUAGGUGGGAGGCUUUGAAGCGGGGACGCCAGUUCUCGUGGAGCCAACCUUGAAAUACCACCCUGGUUUGUUUGAGGUUCUAACCUUGGUCCGUAAUCCGGAUCGGGGACAGUGCAUGGUAGGCAGUUUGACUGGGGCGGUCUCCUCCUAAAGUGUAACGGAGGAGCUCGAAGGUACGCUAAUUACGGUCGGACAUCGUGAUGAUAGUGCAAUGGCAUAAGCGUGCUUAACUGCGAGACCGACAAGUCGAGCAGGUACGAAAGUAGGACAUAGUGAUCCGGUGGUUCUGUAUGGAAGGGCCAUCGCUCAACGGAUAAAAGGUACUCUGGGGAUAACAGGCUGAUUCCUCCCAAGAGUUCAUAUCGACGGGGGAGUUUGGCACCUCGAUGUCGGCUCAUCACAUCCUGGGGCUGUAGCCGGUCCCAAGGGUAUGGCUGUUCGCCAUUUAAAGUGGUACGUGAGCUGGGUUUAAAACGUCGUGAGACAGUUUGGUCCCUAUCUGCCGUGGGCGUUGGAAAUUUGAAGGGGGCUGCUCCUAGUACGAGAGGACCGGAGUGGACGAACCUCUGGUGUACCGGUUGUCACGCCAGUGGCAUUGCCGGGUAGCUAAGUUCGGAAGAGAUAACCGCUGAAAGCAUCUAAGCGGGAAACUUGCCUUGAGAUGAGAUUUCCCGGAGCUUUAAGCUCCUUGAAGGGUCGUUCGAGACCAGGACGUUGAUAGGCUGGGUGUGGAAGUCA
rnacentral:rRNA from 1 species